GUCGAAAGAGCGGCGUUUACGCACAGUGUUGGUACAAUGAGGAGUACAGUAACCCGCCGUGGCGUAUUCCUUUUGUUUCGGUGGAAUCAGGUGAAGAGGACUAACAGCCACGCCAGCAACGAGAAUUCCCGCUUCCUGAGGACGUAGGUGGCGUAGCUGCGAUCGAGGACAAGGAAAAUAACGUAAAGGAAGGGUAUCGUUUCUACGAAUAGCAGAAAGAAACGAGCCUUACCGUGAGCCGAUGAUCCUGAGGGUCGCAGGUCUGCCAGUUUCGCGAGAAGAUCACGCUCGUGUGAGUUUCGUUUUGCGAGCCACCCAACACUUUGACAUCCUGCGACGUGUCCGUGACCAGGGCCGCC